rnacentral:rRNA from 1 species
UACGGAGGAUGCGAGCGUUAUCCGGAUUUAUUGGGUUUAAAGGGUGCGUAGGCGGCUUAGUAAGUCAGCGGUGAAAUUUUGCAGCUUAACUGUAACAGUGCCGUUGAUACUGCCAGGCUAGGAUUUGGUUGCUGUGGGUGGAAUGUGUGGCGUAGCGGUGAAAUGCUUAGAUAUCACACAGAAUAUCGAUUGCGAAGGCAGCUCACAAAGCCAAGAUUGACGCUGAGGCACGAAAGUGUGGGGAUCAAACAGGAUUA